CCCUUAGAUGUUCUGGGCCGCACACGCGCUACACUGAAGGAGGCAGCGUGUACUCCUGGAUCGAAAGAUUUGGGUAACCCGCGAAUCUCCUUCGUGCUAGGGAUUGAGGUUUGCAAUUAUCCUUCAUGAACGAGGAAUUCCCAGUAAGUGCAAGUCAUAAGCUUGCGCUGACUACGUCCCUGCCCUUUGUACACACCGCCCGUCGCUACUACCGAUUGAAUGAUUUAGUGAGGACUUCGGACUGGGACCGAUGCGGCUUACGGGCUGCGUCGGUAUUCUGGAAAGAUGUCCAAACUGUAUCAUUUAGAGGAAGUAAAAGUCGUAACA
rnacentral:rRNA from 1 species